rnacentral:rRNA from 1 species
UGGGGAAUUUUGGACAAUGGGCGCAAGCCUGAUCCAGCCAUGCCGCGUGCGGGAAGAAGGCCUUCGGGUUGUAAACCGCUUUUGUCAGGGAAGAAAUCUUCUGAGUUAAUACCUCGGGAGGAUGACGGUACCUGAAGAAUAAGCACCGGCUAACUACGUGCCAGCAGCCGCGGUAAUACGUAGGGUGCAAGCGUUAAUCGGAAUUACUGGGCGUAAAGCGUGCGCAGGCGGUUUUGUAAGACAGAGGUGAAAUCCCCGGGCUCAACCUGGGAACUGCCUUUGUGACUGCAAGGCUUGAGUGCGGCAGAGGGGGGAUGGAAUUCCGCGUGUAGCAGUGAAAUGCGUAGAUAUGCGGAGGAACACCGAUGGCGAAGGCAAUCCCCUGGGCCUGCACUGACGCUCAUGCACGAAACGUGGGGAGCAAACAGGAUUAGAUAGCCCUGGUAGUCCACGCCCUAAAACGAUGUCAACUGGUUGUUGGGGAAGGUUCCUUCUCAGUAACGUAGCUAACGCGUGAAGUUGACCGCCUGGGGAGUACGCCGCAA